CGGGACACGUGGUAUCCUGUCUGAAUAUGGGGGGACCAUCCUCCAAGGCUAAAUACUCCUGACUGACCGAUAGUGAACCAGUACCGUGAGGGAAAGGCGAAAAGAACCCCGGCGAGGGGAGUGAAAAAGAACCUGAAACCGUGUACGUACAAGCAGUGGGAGCCUCUUAAUGGGGUGACUGCGUACCUUUUGUAUAAUGGGUCAGCGACUUAUAUUCUGUAGCAAGGUUAACCGAAUAGGGGAGCCGAAGGGAAACCGAGUCUUAACUGGGCGUUAAGUUGCAGGGUAUAGACCCGAAACCCGGUGAUCUAGCCAUGGGCAGGUUGAAGGUUGGGUAACACUAACUGGAGGACCGAACCGACUAAUGUUGAAAAAUUAGCGGAUGACUUGUGGCUGGGGGUGAAAGGCCAAUCAAACCGGGAGAUAGCUGGUUCUCCCCGAAAGCUAUUUAGGUAGCGCCUCGUGAAUUCAUCUCCGGGGGUAGAGCACUGUUUCGGCAAGGGGGUCAUCCCGACUUACCAACCCGAUGCAAACUGCGAAUACCGGAGAAUGUUAUCACGGGAGACACACGGCGGGUGCUAACGUCCGUCGUGAAGAGGGAAACAACCCAGACCGCCAGCUAAGGUCCCAAAGUCAUGGUUAAGUGGGAAACGAUGUGGGAAGGCCCAGACAGCCAGGAUGUUGGCUUAGAAGCAGCCAUCAUUUAAAGAAAGCGUAAUAGCUCACUGGUCGAGUCGGCCUGCGCGGAAGAUGUAACGGGGCUAAACCAUGCACCGAAGCUGCGGCAGCGACGUUUAUGCGUUGUUGGGUAGGGGAGCGUUCUGUAAGCCUGCGAAGGUGUACUGUGAG
rnacentral:rRNA from 1 species